rnacentral:tRNA from 1 species
AGCUCAGAGGUUAAAGCGUCUGCCUGCAAUGCAGGAGACCCAGGUUCGAUCCCUGA